rnacentral:rRNA from 1 species
UACGGGGGGGGGCAAGCGUUGUUCGGAAUUACUGGGCGUAAAGGGCUCGUAGGUGGCCAACUAAGUCAGAUGUGAAAGCCCCGGGCUCAACCUGGGAAUUGCAUUUGAGACUGCGUAGCUAGGGUGCGGAAGAGGGAAGCGGAAUUUCCGGUGUAGCGGUGAAAUGCGUAGAUAUCGGAAGGAACACCAGUGGCGAAAAGCGGCUUCCCUGGGUCCAGCACCGACGUUCAGGCACGAAAGCGUG